UUGAUUCUGUGAUGGCUUAUUGUCUUUAUAGUUUCAGUGAUUAUGUCGACUGAUGAACCAAGAGAACUUUCGCGCAGAACUGAAAUCUCUCUUGCUGCAGUUGAAGACUAUGUGAUUAAAAAUAUAAAUCCAGAAAAUAUUAGGCAUUUCCUCAGAUACCUGACUCGUCAACCUCACCUAGGAGGGACGGAGGCAGAGAAGGAGGUGGCAUAGUGGGUGGCACAUACUUGGCAGCAGCAGGGGCUUGACCAGGUUCAUCUCGUGCCAUAUCAUGUCCUCCUCUCUUACCCUGACCCCAUCAUACCCAAUUUGGUGAGGAUCGUGGAUGGUGAAAACAAUACUGCCUGGGUGUCAGCAGCCAGACAAAAGCCUCUGUAUGCUCCUGAAGAAGCCUCACUCGACAUUCCUUUCACUUUCAACGGCUAUGCAGCUCAUGGUAAUGUUACGGAACUCUCCACUUGAUUCAAGGCUUCACAGAACUUCAGACAUCCAUAAAAGUUAGGAAACUGGAGACAGGACUCCUCCCAAUUCAACUUCUGCUACUUUGAAUAUGGAGUAGUUCUGGUGAACCAUUUGUGAAAAAAUGAGAGUGACAAGUCUAUGGUACUAUCCUAUAGCAGAUAUGCCUUGUUACUUAUACACUUUGCCACUGGUUAGCUUUAGCCAUUAGGCACUGUUGACAAGUACUGGGCAUGCAAUGUUUGUAGAAUGUAUAUUUGCCUCUACAUGAAUGUACCACAGCCUGGAAUGUGUGAGGAUUCGGGUAUGAGAUGUGACAACGCAGCACUGUAGCCAGGGCUGAAUGAAUUAGCGUGUUACAGUGAAAUGACCUAUUUUGCUUGGCCACACAUUAAUGUUGAAGAACACUUAUCACAUGUAUGUUUUAUUUCUUUUAUUGUUGUUUUUAUAUUGUUACACAUAUUUAUGAAAUGUAUUAUUUACUAUGUUCAUUGUGUUAUGAUAAUAAAGUGUAAGUGUUCGUCUGUGUUGGUUAAUAAUUAGUGGUUGGACAUCCAGUGAUUUCACAAUAUAUUUGACAGGGCUGGAUUUCACUUCUAUGCCGCCCCUAGGCCAAAUUUUCAAAGCAGCCCAGCUAUAACGGUACCUAAUUUCUACCACUACCUCCUUGUAGCAAUGCAUGUGAUGGAGGGUGCGGGAGGGGGUUUUGAGAAUUGCAAUUAAAUGUCAGGUAGCGACAUGUCCUCCUAA